rnacentral:rRNA from 1 species
GACAACAGCCUUAUCACCCUGCAGCCCAAGACUGGUUGCCCACUGAAGCUAAGCAGGGUUGAGCCUGGUCAGUACCUGGAUGGGAGACCUCCUGGGAAAACUAGGUUGCUGUUGGAA